GGUACCGUGAGAAUAAGCCACGGCUAACUCUGUGCCAGCAGCCGCGGUAAGACAGAGGUGGCAAGCGUUGUUCGGAAUUACUGGGCGUAAAGAGUCUGUAGGUGGUUUGUCAAGUCUUUGGUGAAAGGCCGUAGCUUAACUAUGGGAAUGCCAAAGAGACUGGCAGGCUGGAGGCUGGGAGAGGGAAGCGGAAUUUUCUGGUGUAGCGGUGAAAUGCGUAGAUAUCAGAAGGAAGGCCGGUGGCGAAGGCGGCUUCCUGGAACAGUCCUGACACUGAGAGACGAAAGCGUGGGGAGCAAAC
rnacentral:rRNA from 1 species